AGGGAGAGGGGUCACAUGGUUGGUGAGAGAGGGAGCCCCCACGAACACAUCAAUUCAGCUUCUUUUUUCUACCAUCAAAAGAAGACGACGACGUCAGGGUUGGCUUUUGGAUCCAUCCAAUAGCUUUCCCUGUUAACAUCCGUCCUCCUCUUCUGGCUUCCACUUCAUCCCUGUUCUUGAGCUCUGUUUUUCUGCAAUUAGUUUGGGUUAUUUGAAUUUUUUUCUUAAGAU
rnacentral:lncRNA from 1 species